UACGAAGGGGGCUAGCGUUGUUCGGAAUUACUGGGCGUAAAGGGUUUGUAGGCGGUUAUACAAGUCAGUGGUGAAAGCCCGGGGCUCAACCUCGGAAUUGCCAUUGAAACUGUAUAGCUAGAGAGUGUUAGAGGAAAGUGGAAUUCAUAGUGUAGGAGUGAAAUCCGUAGAGAUUAUGAGGAAUAUCGAUGGCGAAGGCAGCUUUCUGGGACAUUUCUGACGCUGAGAAACGAAAGCGUGGGUAGCAAACAGG
rnacentral:rRNA from 1 species